GAUGAACGCUAGCGGCAGGCUUAAUACAUGCAAGUUGAGGGGCAGCAUGAUAUACGCGAGUAUAUUGAUGGCGACCGGCGGACGGGUGAGUAAUAGGUAGGAGACCUACCUCAUACAGGGGGAUAGCAUAGAGAAAUCUGUGGUAAUACCCCAUGAGGUUAUAUGAAUAGAGGCAUAUAAUCAAAGCAUAAGCGAUUAUGCGGUAUGAGAGGGGCCUACUGACCAUUAGCUAGUUGGUGAGGUAAGGGCUCACCAAGGCGAAGAUGGUUAGGGGUUUUGAGAGAGAGACCCCCCACAUUGGAACUGAGAGACGGUCCAGACUCCUACGGGAGGCAGCAGUAGGGAAUAUUGGGCAAUGGGCGAAAGCCUGACCCAGCCAUGCCGCGUGAAGGAAGACGGCCUUAUGGGUUGUAAACUUCUUUACUACGCGAAUAGAGGUUAGUACGAGAUACUAAUAGGAAGUAGUGUAGUAAAAAGACCGGCUAACUCCGU
rnacentral:rRNA from 1 species